rnacentral:lncRNA from 1 species
GGAAGCAGCGAAAGAAAACCGAAUUGGGGUUGGGGACGAAACGGCCUGUUUCAAAUAUUUGACCAGCGAGUGACCGAGAGAGAAGCAGAGGGAAAGGGGAAGAGAUGAAUUCUAACGUUCGCACGCUAUCGUUCGUUGAAACUUUUCUGAGCGAUCAGAUGCGACGAAAGAAAGAAAGAAAGAAAGAAAAAAAGAAAGGUGGAAAUGCAUAUAUAAGAGGAACAAAAAAAAAUAGUAAUAGAAAGAGAAAGAGAAUGGAACUCGCGAUGUGAGACCAAGCAUGGAAACAAUACCGAUCCGCGGAUAAGCUACGACCAUGAGAAGAUAAAAA